rnacentral:rRNA from 1 species
AAGGCUUGACCUCAAAUCAGGUAGGACUACCCGCUGAACUAAGCAUAUCAAUA